CUCUUAUCCAGAGAGGUGGAGGGACUGGCCCUGCGAAACCUCGGCAACCGGUAUUCAUUGCAAUACAUGGUGCUAAUUCCAGCAAAACGACCGCGAGUUCGUUUUGGCAGAUAAGAG
rnacentral:ncRNA from 1 species